rnacentral:rRNA from 1 species
GGCGAACGCUGGCGGCGUGCUUAACACAUGCAAGUCGAACGGAAAGGCCCUGCUUUUUUGGUGUGCUCGAGUGCCGAACGGGUGCGUAACACGUGUGUAACCUGCCCUUGACUUUGGGAUAACUUCAGGUAACUAGGGCUAAUACCGGAUAGGAGCUCCUGCUGCAGGGUGGGGGGUGGAAAGUUUCGGCGGUUGGGGAUGGACUCGCGGCUGAUCAGCUUGUUGGUGGGGUAGUGGCUUACCAAGGCUUUGACGGGUAGCCGGCCUGAGAGGGUGACCGGCCACAUUGGGACUGAGAUACGGCCCAGACUCCUACGGGAGGCAGCAGUGGGGAAUAUUGCACAAUGGGCGGAAGCCUGAUGCAGCAACGCCGCGUGCGGGAUGACGGCCUUCGGGUUGUAAACCGCUUUCGCCUGUGACGAAGCGUGAGUGACGGUAAUGGGUAAAGAAGCACCGGCUAACUACGUG